UACGAAGGGGGCUAGCGUUGCUCGGAAUCACUGGGCGUAAAGCGCACGUAGGCGGAUUGCUAAGUCAGGGGUGAAAUCCUGGAGCUCAACUCCAGAACUGCCUUUGAUACUGGCGAUCUCGAGUCCGGGAGAGGUGAGUGGAACUGCGAGUGUAGAGGUGAAAUGCGCAGAUAUCGGGAAGAACACCCGUGGCGAAGGCGGUUCUCUGGGACGGUACUGACGCUGAGACGCGAAAGCGUGGGGAGCGAACAGG
rnacentral:rRNA from 1 species